rnacentral:rRNA from 1 species
UAGAUACCCUUGUAGUCCGCACAGUAAACGAUGGAUGCCAGCUGUCCGGGCCGAAUGGGGCCUGGGUGGCAAAGCGAAAGCGUUAAGCAUCCCACCUGGGGAGUACGCCGGCAACGGUGAAACUCAAAGGAAUUGACGGGGGCCCGCACAAGCGGAGGAACAUGUGGUUUAAUUCGAUGAUACGCGAGGAACCUUACCCGGGCUCAAACGCGUCAGGGAUCCCCUUCGAAAGGAGGGGAGUCAGCAAUGACCUGGCGCGAGGUGCUGCAUGGUUGUCGUCAGCUCGUGCCGUGAGGUGUCGGCUUAAGUGCCAUAACGAGCGCAACCCCUACCGACAGUUGCUAACUGGUGAAGCAGAGGACUCUGUCGGGACUGCCGGCGCAAGCUGCGAGGAAGGCGGGGAUGACGUCAAAUCAGCACGGCCCUUACGUCCGGGGCGACACACGUGUUACAAUGGCAGGUACAGCGGGAAGCCACCGGGCGACCGGGCGCGGAACCCGAAAACCUGUCUCAGUUCGGAUCGGAGUCUGCAACCCGACUCCGUGAAGCUGGAUUCGCUAGUAAUCGCGCAUCAGCCACGGCGCGGUGAAUACGUUCCCGGGCCUUGUCACACCGCCCGUCAACCAUGGGAGCCGGGGGUGCCUGAAGUCCCUGACCGCAAGGGGCGGCCUAGGGUAAAACCGUUGACUGGGGCUAAGUCCUAACAGGUAAGCCGAAUCCA